AGAGUUUGAUCCUGGCUCAGGACGAACGCUGGCGGCGUGCUUAAGACAUGCAAGUCGAACGAGAAAGCCUCUUCGGAGGUUAGUAAAGUGGCGCACGGGUGAGUAACACGUGGGUAAUCUGCCCUUAGGUUUGGGAUAACCCCGGGAAACCGGAGCUAAUACCGAAUAAGACCACGAUGACUUUGGUCGAUGUGGGAAAAGGUGGCCUCUUCUUGAAAGCUAUCGCCUAUGGAUGAGCCUGCGGUUGAUUAGCUUGUUGGUGAGGUAACGGCUCACCAAGGCGACGAUCAAUAGCUGAUCUGAGAGGAUGAUCAGUCACACUGGAACUGAGACACGGUCCAGACUCCUACGGGAGGCAGCAGUCGGGAAUAUUGGGCAAUGGGCGAAAGCCUGACCCAGCAACGCCGCGUGAAGGAUGAAGGCCCUAGGGUCGUAAACUUCUGUCGAGAGGGAAGAAUGCUUGCGGGCUAAUACCCCGUAAGUUUGACGGUACCUCCAAAGGAAGCACCGGCUAACUCCGUGCCAGCAGCCGCGGUAAUACGGAGGGUGCAAGCGUUGUUCGGAUUUAUUGGGCGUAAAGCGAGUGUAGGCGGUUUGACAAGUCGAAUGUGAAAUCCCGAGGCCCAACCUCGGAACUGCAUCCGAAACUGUCAGGCUAGAGUUCCGGAGAGGGUGGCGGAAUUCCCGGUGUAGGGGUGA
rnacentral:rRNA from 1 species